GACAGAGGGUGCAAACGUUGCUCGGAAUUACUGGGCGUAAAGCGCGUGUAGGUGGACCAGCAAGUCAGGCGUGAAAUCCCUAGGCUCAACCUAGGAACUGCACCUGAAACUGCUGGUCUUGAGUGGUGGAGAGGAAAGCAGAAUUCCUGUGUAGAGGUGAAAUUCGUAGAUAUCAGGAGGAACACCGGUGGCGAAGGCGGCUUUCUGGACACUUACUGACACUGAGACGCGAAAGCGUGGGGAGCAAACAGAUUAGAUACCCGUUAGUAGUCCAG
rnacentral:rRNA from 1 species